rnacentral:rRNA from 1 species
CCUACGGGGGGCAGCAGUGAGGAAUAUUGGUCAAUGGACGAAAGUCUGAACCAGCCAAGUAGCGUGAAGGAUGACUGCCCUAUGGGUUGUAAACUUCUUUUAUAUGGGAAUAAAAUGUGGCACGUGUGGGGUUUUGUAUGUACCAUAUGAAUAAGGAUCGGCUAACUCCGUGCCAGCAGCCGCGGUACUACGGAGGAUCCGAGCGUUAUCCGGAUUUAUUGGGUUUAAAGGGGGCGUAGGUGGAUUGGUGAGUCAGUUGUGAAAGUUUGCGGCUCAACCGUAAGAUUGCAGUUGAAACUGGCAGUCUUGAGUACAGUAGAGGUGAGCGGAAUUCGUGGGGUAGCGGUGAAAUGCUUAGAUAUCACGAAGAACUCCGAUUGCGAAGGCAGCUCACUGGGCUGCAAAUGACACUGAGGCUCGAAAGUGGGGGGAUCAAACAGGAUUAGAUAACCGAGUAGUC